rnacentral:rRNA from 1 species
GACGAACGCUGGCGGCGUGCCUAAUACAUGCAAGUAGAACGCUGAAGGAGGAGCUUGCUCUUCUGGAUGAGUUGCGAACGGGUGAGUAACGCGUAGGUAACCUGCCUGGUAGCGGGGGAUAACUAUUGGAAACGAUAGCUAAUACCGCAUAACAGUAGAUGUUGCAUGACAUUUGCUUAAAAGGUGCAAUUGCAUCACUACCAGAUGGACCUGCGUUGUAUUAGCUAGUUGGUGGGGUAACGGCUCACCAAGGCGACGAUACAUAGCCGACCUGAGAGGGGGAUCGGCCACACUGGGACUGAGACACGGCCCAGACUCCUACGGGAGGCAGCAGUAGGGAAUCUUCGGCAAUGGACGGAAGUCUGACCGAGCAACGCCGCGUGAGUGCAGAAGGUUUUCGGAUCGUAAAGCUCUGUUGUAAGAGAAGAACGAGUGUGAGAGUGGAAAGUUCACACUGUGACGGUAUCUUACCAGAAAGGGACGGCUAACUACGUG